UCGGCUACAGGAUUUGGAGGUUGUGUUUUUUUCCUCACCUUCUGUGCAAAGCAGCAUGAUUCACUUUGUAGUUCCUGCUUGGUGACCUCUCCUAGUUCCUCACCAUAUGUUCGCUACUGAUCAGACCCAUUGGUGAUUAAAUACUCAGCAGAGGUGAUUGAGCAGCCUUUGACACUUUGCACCCCCUACUGCCUGGAUUUCAAAGAGGAAAGCAACUUCUAGAUUGUCUCAAACGCACUGGGAACAUAAGGAGCAGCAGGCUUACAGAUGAGGAAACCUCUGUGAAACACAUUAAAUGAGUUCAGCUAUUCUUUUCUAAUGAUGGAAAAGCCUAAAAAACCCAAUAUAUCGAUGAUAAAAAUGUGAGCUGACAUCUCUGGCAAUGAAAGCAAAAGAGGGGAAGAUGGCAAUUCAAUGCUGAUAGUUGUCAUGGCUAUUUCAGUGCCAUACAGGAGAAGAUGGAGACCUGCAUGCCCUAGGUAUCCUGACCUCUGGACUUUUUGGAGAGAGCAGCAGCCUGGCAUGAUGUUGAUCAAGA